GCUGUAUGCCGUAUGGCACAGUGGUUAAUGCACCUGCCUAAUAAGCAGGAGAUCCUGGGUUCCAGUCCCAGUGCCGGCU